AUCUCUGUUUCAUUUUAAAAAUAAUACAUUAAGUUAUUCAAACCCAGAUAAAGAUGACAAAUUAUCUGUUCUUCAGAGGGAUUAGAUGGUCAGAGAGUAAUUACAUGCUUACACUGCUUACCAAAGUUAAAUAAAUACAUCACGAGAUACAUACUGUUCAUUAUGAGCACUGCCAGUGCGCGGUCUUCUGUGAGGAGAGCAGUGGGACUUGGACAUUUCCAUUCAAAGAGUUUUCAUAUCUUCUUUUGUUCCAGCAGAAGGAGUGCAGUCAGUACACUGGAUAAUUCAGGAAACGGAAGAUGGUUUGAAGUCAUCCCAGCAUAG
rnacentral:lncRNA from 1 species